rnacentral:rRNA from 1 species
AGAGUUUGAUCCUGGCUCAGGAUGAACGCUAGCUACAGGCUUAACACAUGCAAGUCGCGGGGCAGCAUGAAUUUAGCUUGCUAAAUUUGAUGGCGAUCCGGCGCACGGGUGAGUAAUCGCGUAUCCAACCUGCCCAUCUCCACGGGAUAGCCCGUCGAAAGGCGGAUUAAUACCGUAUGAGGUCACGAGACGGCAUCAGACCGUGACGAAAGGUUUUGCGGAGAUGGAUGGGGAUGCGUCCGAUUAGCUGGUUGGCGGGGUAACGGCCCACCAAGGCGACGAUCGGUAGGGGUUCUGAGAGGAAGGUCCCCCACAUUGGAACUGAGACACGGUCCAAACUCCUACGGGAGGCAGCAGUGAGGAAUAUUGGUCAAUGGGCGCGAGCCUGAACCAGCCAAGUAGCGUGCAGGAUGACGGCCCUAUGGGUUGUAAACUGCUUUUAUGCGGGGAUAAAAUGUGUCACGUGUGGCAUAUUGCAGGUACCGCAUGAAUAAGGACCGGCUAAUUCCGUGCCAGCAGCCGCGGUAAUACGGAAGGUCCGGGCGUUAUCCGGAUUUAUUGGGUUUAAAGGGAGCGUAGGCCGCCUUUUAAGCGUGUUGUGAAAAACCGGGGCUCAACUCCGGUCGUGCAGCGCGAACUGGAGGGCUUGAGUCCGCAGAAAGUGCGCGGAAUUCGUGGUGUAGCGGUGAAAUGCUUAGAUAUCACGAAGAACCCCGAUUGCGAAGGCAGCGCACUGUAGCGUCACUGACGCUGAAGCUCGAAAGUGCGGGUAUCGAACAGGAUUAGAUACCCUGGUAGUCCGCACGGUAAACGAUGGAUGCCCGCUGUUCCGGCAUUAGCUGGAGUGGCCAAGCGAAAGCGUU